AUUGUGCUGUGUCUGUCGACAGGACCAGAGGUGAAGAGGCGAAUGGACAAAGGGAAUCAAUGGAAAAGCAAUAGCAGAAAAACAAGAUAUGAAAAUGACAUCCACAGUUGGUCAUGUAUCAGUGUGACAUUCAGCAUUAUGCCUGAAACUGAUGUGUUGCAGAGAGAGAAGAGAGAGAGAAGGAGAGAGAGAGAGAGAAGAGAGAGAGUUAGAUAGGUAUUUUAAAGUGGACUCCUCUCUUGAGUUCUGAUGACUGAGACAUUGGGUCUAGUUCAAAACAGUACUCUAUUUCAUUGACCUGCUGUCUUCUUAAGGGAGCACAGAGAUAUAAAGACCUGGUCUGAAUACUUACAAGCCAACAUGUCCACUCGUCUUUAUUAAAGGAACUUUGGGCAGCUAUCCAGACAAUCUUGAAAUUGAAAAGAUUAUGAGAGAUUAAUGUAACCUUUUGGCAAAUGCAAGGAUGAGAGGCAUUUUUAAAUGUGUUGCUAAGAGUUCGUGUUUCUUUUGGGCAAAAGUUGAUACUGCAAACAGCAGACACAAGUCAUGUAUCUUAUUUCACAAUAUUUUUCAAGAUAUUUUGUGUUAACCAUUUUUUUUAGGUUAAAAUAAAUUAUUUGCCAAUGACGUAAGAUAAUUUAGCUAGGUAAAAAAAAAUAUAUAAUCUAAAGGGAAUUAUCACGUUUCGGUUUUUGCAGUAUACCCUGAAAAAUCUUUUCUCAGAACUUAAAUAAAGAGUAUCGAACCACUGGACUACUCACGACUGACUCACUGAUCAUCUAAGCCAAUCCAAUCAGUCCACCACUUCCCACCCAAAAACAGACCAUCGGUCAGUGGUCACCGAAACAAGAACAAAGUACACAUGUAACCAAGAAAAAGCGCUGUGAGAAGUCCUCUAAUUCAAAUAAAGUGACUUGAUUCCACCAAACAGAUUGACAAUACUGAGAACAAACACUAAGGUAAAACGCUCCCUAAAAUGCUCUUUCACUUACUUUGAAUUGUGUAUUGACCAGCUGUUUUUAUACUGGAGGCCAGCUGUUAUGAGUGAUACCAUUGAUUACAGAAAUAUAUAUACAUAUCAGUGAUAUAUCAUUUGAAUCUAUGAUUAGUUUUGUUUGGGGUGAUGAAAAAUAUGCCAGGGAAACUGAAGCUAGUUGCUCUCGUCUUGCUCAUUCAAGCAUGUGUGUCCAUAGUGGCCCAGAUGCCAGCCCCAGAGGACUCUGUCUCUGAGGGGUUCUGCAGAGGGCAACAGAGACAUACAGGGCAGCCAAAGUUAAAGCCCAGAGAAUAAGAGAGGCGGUGCAGGCCUUUGCUGGUGCGUACUACGAGGACCACAUCAAACCAGUGGCUGAUCCCUACAUGGACUGGGCCUCAGCCUCCACCAGUUCCUUCUGGGACAGAGUCAAGGAGAAGAUCGACCAGUACAGACCCAUCUAAUGGCACCUGAAUCUAAGGCAGACAAACACCCACCCAGCUCACUGCCAGCACAUGUAUUCAUGCAAGGUGAUUCUAGGGCUGAUUCUAUGUUCAUAUACACUAGGGAUUACAACUAGAAGAGCGCGUGAACAAUGCUGUAUGAUUUGACAAGUGAAUGAGGACACCCAUUUACUGGUGUUUCACUAACCUCAGCACAAGGGUUGUGAUAGUAUUAAAACUGCCAUAGAGUGUAUUAGUAUCAUACCGUUUUGGCUCACAUAUUGCAUCUGAGUAAGUCAAUUAACUAUUGUGAACCCCCAAAAUGAAUUCAAACUAAAUAAAAUUUUAAAAAAACAUUUAGUUGUACCAUUAUAGUGUUGUGCCUUUUCAUUAAAUUUCCCUUGACACAGUCUACACUCCUCACAUUCAUCAAUCUCUGAACUGAAUGAAGUAGAAAGCUGAGAGAGACUGAGAAUAGAUUUUAGAAAGGCAGAGAGAAAGCAACAGGGAAUGACAAAGAGGGAGAGAAAGAAUGAGACAAAGAAAGAGACAGACGGACAGACAGACAGAGACAUCAGUGAUGGGAGGGACAUCUACAGACUGUGCUGAAAUCGGAGUGUUAUCUCGGUGAGAGUUGUCAGUUGAGAUACAAGGUUCAGCAGGGGUGUCUGACUGGACGGGAGAUGUGUGUGACCUGCAGGACAUUUCUCUCAGCUCUCUCUGUGUGGACGGACAGACGGACAGACGGACAGACGGACAGACGGACAGACGGACAGACGGACAGACGGACGGACGGACGGACGGACAGACGGACAGACGGACAGAC
ensembl:lncRNA